CUCAUUCGAUUCCUUUUCGAUUUAUUUUCCUCCCCUUCAUCUUUGGUUUACUUACUCAGCUGCCUUUUAAUUGGAAUUCCAACACGAGUUAACUCGAUUGAUUUACUUUCGCGAAUCUGCGUCGUUUUCUAUUCUGAAUUCCAAAUCCCAUAUACAAUUGAUAAUCAUCCUCAGCCACCGAUCGCACUAAACUCUUCGGAUUUCUCUCCUCUUUCUCUUCUUCCUCCGUCUUCUCAAUUAUCUCAUCCUCUUAUAUUUCAUCUUUCAAAACCUUCCCCUUCCCCUUCCCCUUCACUUCACUCUUCCUUUCAAGAAAUCUGUCUGAAACUCACCCACCAAAACCCUAAUAAAGAAUUGUUGCAAUUCUUCCAAAUAGAGGGAAAGAGAGUAGAAAUGGCAACAUCUUCACUGGGUUCGUCAACUCUUGCUCAGUCACAGAUCAAUGGUUUUGGUGGGUGUCUUAAGCUUCGAAACCCUUCUCUCUCUAACCCCAAUUCGCUCCUUUUUUUGAGGUAUUAUUCUACUGAUUUAUUCUUCAAGUAUGUUUUUAGUUUUUACUUUCUGAUUUCCUCUUGGCUAUUAUAAUUAAAUGAAUUUGUAUAAGAUGAGUAAACCAAAAUUAUUUAUUUAUUAUUUUCUUAAAAUAUUUCACCAAUGACGGUGGAUAACUAAAGGAUCUGGGUAAUAUUUCAACAUGAUAUUGAUUUAGAUCAUUGGAAAUGUUAGAUUUUUUUUAAAUCUAAAGGUGGCCGAAGGGAAUGUUGUUUAACGUGUUUGCCUUUGAAGGAAUCAAAUCAAUUCAUUUUAAAAUUUGUUCAUUACAGGUUUGUGUAUUUGCUUAGUUGACAACUUGACAUUCAAAUUAAUGACUGUUGUGGCUUGAGAUGGAAGCUACAUAUUAUUUGGCUCUAAAUCACAAUUAAAUUAUUGGGUGAAUUUCUAUAUCGGUG
rnacentral:lncRNA from 1 species